AUGGCAAGGAUCAAGAAGAAGGCCGCCGUGAUAUGCUGCUGCGCGUUGCUCGCGGCGUCCCUCCUGCUCGGCGCCGCCCUCGCCACCUCGCUCUACUUCCUGCUGCUCCGCCCGCACCCGCCGCGCGUGGUGGCAACGGCGGUGGAGACGCAGCUCGCCGCCUUCACCAUCCUCCCGCCGGCGCUCAACUUCUCCCUGGCCGUCGCCGUCACCGUGCACAACCCGAGCCACGCGCCGUUCCGGUACGGCGCGGUGGUCACCGCGGUGACGUACCACGGCGCGGCGGUGGGGCGGUCUGUCGCGCCCGCGGGGAAGAUCCCGGCGCGGUCGGCGAGGACGGUCGGGGCGCGGGUGCGGGUGGACGCGGCGAGGGUCACCCUGAGCAGGCACUACGUGGUGGACGUUGUCGCAGGCGCGCUGCCCUUCGAGGCCAAGACGGCGAUGGCGGGGAAGGCCGCGGCGCUCCGGCUGUUCAGGGUGAGCGCGGACGCCGAGGCAUCGUGCAGUGUCAUCCUGUACACGUUCAGGCGGGAGAGCAGCUCGCACUGCACCUCCAUGGUUCGCGUCACCUGA
rnacentral:rRNA from 1 species